CUAGGCAUGAGCCGCCUGCAGAGUUUUCUAGAGUCAACCAACAAUGACCCUCAGCCCAGGCAGCUGCACUGUGAUUGUCAUUAUUCUAGUGCCCUAGGCCAGAGCUCCAGAUGUCGAAGUGAAAAAUCUUAGCUUCCAUCAUGAAAAAAGAAGGAAGUUUCUAAGGCAGAUGGUUACAAAUAAAUCUUUGAAAAAUGUGCCUGGGGUCCCCCUCCAAACCUCGCCAACCAGAUGGCAGAUAAAAAGAACAACAUUUGUGACGUAACGAUCUCAUCAUCCUAAAGCAGCUCUCAUGAUUCUUUCAGGCUGAGGCGGUUCUUACGUGCUAGCGGCUGCAAA